rnacentral:tRNA from 1 species
GCUCUGGUGGCAUAAUGGGUAAGCCGUCGCUUCCUGGAGCCGAAGAGUGUGGGUUUGAGUCCCUCCCAGGGCG